AACGAACGCUGGCGGCAGGCUUAACACAUGCAAGUCGAACGCCCCGCAAGGGGAGUGGCAGACGGGUGAGUAACACGUGGGAACGUGCCCUUCGCUUCGGGAUAGCCUCGGGAAACUGGGAGUAAUACCGAAUACGCCGUAUUGGGAAAGAUAUAUCGGCGAAGGAUCGGCCCGCGUUGGAUUAGCUAGUUGGCGGUGUAAUGGACCACCAAGGCUACGAUCCAUAGCUGGUCUGAGAGGACGACCAGCCACACUGGGACUGAGACACGGCCCAGACUCCUACGGGAGGCAGCAGUGGGGAAUCUUGGACAAUGGGCGCAAGCCUGAUCCAGCCAUGCCGCGUGAGUGAUGAAGGCCUUAGGGUUGUAAAGCUCUUUUACCCGAGAUGAUAAUGACAGUAUCGGGAGAAUAAGCUCCGGCUAACUCCGUGCCAGCAGCCGCGGUAAU
rnacentral:rRNA from 1 species